rnacentral:tRNA from 1 species
GCCCCGGUAGCUCAGCCGGUCAGAGCGAGCGUCUCGUAAGCGCUAGGUCGCGGGUUCGAUUCCCGCCCGGGGCU